ensembl:lncRNA
UAGCCCACGUCUGAUCCAUACUAGAAAACUGAUAUGCAACAUUUAGUAUUUUAUUUUAUUUUGAUGUGAUGUGAUAUAUAUUUCAUAUAUAGAGAAGUAUAUAUUAAUUCAUUUGUCUCACCGAGCUGGGUGAUGCUGGGGACACAGUGGUGACUGAGACAGCCAAGGACUGCCCUUCAUGGGGUUCGCCAUCCAGUGGAGAGACUUACCUGCCCCUGGACAGUGAUGACCCAGAAUGGGAAGGGCUGGAUUGGGGGAGUUUGGGAGGCUUGGGCAGCCUAGAAUGAGCUCAGGGGUCAGAGAGGGUGGGUAGUCAGAGAAGACCUCUGAAGCUUCAUCUUAGCGUUGAAAGACUGAAGGCGGAAGGAACGAACUGGAGGGAACACGUAUCCACCUCUCUCUACCUUUGACUCCAGCCCUCCAGCUCCCCAGUUCUCCAAUAACACCCUAACACAUGGUCCUCAAGCUUCCACAGCUGAAGGCAAACGAUCCGAACAUGCACCUGAACAAGUUUUCUUCAGACUUUCAGCACGCUCUGACUUACGUGCUGCAAAGACCUACCUGAAAGCUGGGCAUGGUGGCAGGUGACUGUAUUCCCAGCUGCUUAAGAGGCUGAGGUGGGAGGAUCGCUGGAGUCUAGGAGUUCGAGUCCAGUUUGGGCAACAUACCCUAAAAAAAAAAAAAAACAGGAAAACGGGAAAGAAUUUAGCAGCCAAUUUAGGCUAAUACUGGGAGCUUACUCUGGGAUUUUCCAAUUUGAUUUGUAUCAACUUGUCCAUCUGAUGGUUCCAGAGCUGCAGCUUUUUUUUUUUUUUUUUCCUGUGGCAGGGCCCCUGUUGCCCAGGCUGGAGUGCAGUGGCAUGAUCACAGCUCACUGCAGCCUUGACCUCCUGGGCUCAAGUGAUCCUCCCGCCUCAGCCUCCUGAGUAGCUGAAACUACAGGCACAUGCCACCAUGCUGGCUAGUUUUUUUGUAGAGGUUUUACCAUGUUGCCCAGGCUGGUCUCAAGUUCCUGAGCUCAAGCGAUCUGCCUGCCUCGGCCUCCCAAAGUGUUGGGAUUACAUACAUGAGCCACUGCGCCUGGCUGAGCUGCAGCUCUUUGAUUUGAAAAUGCUAAAUGAGCCUCAGUAAAUCAAGGUAUCCAAAUGAGCAGGAUACCUCUGAGGCAUAGUUGCUAAGACUAUUGGGGAAAGGCUCUUAGACUCCAUCCCCAGUGCCUAUCCCUCUAUUUAGUCUAAGGUCUGGAAGUGUAGGCAACAUAGAGGUGAAUCCAUCUCCGUGACAGACCCAGGCUAAAAAUGGAUGGAAAAGACUAUCAGACCUGAUCUGCUGCUGUGUUGGCCACUAGUUAACAUCCGGAGACCAGAAAUGAGAGACAUGAUUCAAAAACGUUGAAAUUCCUCAAUUAUAGGAUUCCAGGAGAUAGCGCACAUCAUGAGGAUGCCGUGAAAGAUAAAAUCAAGGCCGUGCACGGUGGCUCACGCCUGUAAUCUCAGCACUUUGGGUGCUGAGGUAGGUGGAUCAUCUGAGGUCGGGAGUUCGAGACCAGCCUGAUUAACAUGGAGAAAUCCCGUCUCUACUAAAAAUACAAAAUUAGCUGGGCAUGGUGGCGCAUGCCUGUAAUCCCAGCUAUUCGGGAGGUUGAGGCAGGAGAAUCGCUUGAACCCGGGAGGCUGAGGUUGUGGUGAGCCGAGAUUGUGCCAUUGCACUCCAGCCUGGGCAACAAGAGUGAACCCCGUCUCAAAAAAAAAAAAAAAAAAAAAAAAAAA